rnacentral:misc_RNA from 1 species
CAACCCUCAAGCCCCCCCGGUGACGGGAACGGGCUUGGUGUUGGGGACCGGCCAACUGGUGCCCUGCUGCUGCCGUAGCAGGCGCCGGGCCGCCCCCGAAAUGAAUUGGCGGCCUCGUCGCGGCCUCCCUCUGCGUAGUAGCACAAAUCUCGCAGCUGGAGCGCGGCGCGGCCACUGCCGUAAAACGCACCAACUUUUUUAA